rnacentral:sRNA from 1 species
UUCAAAUAAAUUAUUUAACUAAACUUUCACUUUCCAGUUGGAAUAUCAAUCAUCUUCAUAUGAAUAAACCUUUUUUUCGGGCCUGGUCUUGACCACCAAGUGAUUGCGGCUCUAAUUAAAUGUGUCCUCAAGCGUCUGAUUAAUUGUGCCGUUAGCGCCGAAAUGAGAUCAUGGCCAAAACGAGAAGAUGGUGGUCUGUGGAGACACACUGUCCUUUGGCCAAGGACCAGGCAUUUUUUUCCCCUUCGAGCCGAAUGUGUGAGUUAGGGCUUUGGACCUCAACUGUCACAACAUCAAAGUGACAAUUUGAGUGACUUUUCCCCAGAAUGGCUAAUUUAAAAUGCGCUGAAACAAAAGGACACUUAGGCUGCUGCUGGCAGGACAAUGGACAGGACAUGCUGACGGGUCGCUCCUCUCCGUAAACCUUUCCGUAACUCCCCAUGCUGGGCACAUAUACAACAUAUAUUUUUAUAAUUUAUCUAUUAUGCAUAAGGGCGCUGGGCAAAGCCAAAGGGUUUUGGCUGUCAUCAUACUCCAGCCCAUCAAGGACGAAGAGUGACACAUGAGGCGAGGUCCUUUUGGUCCUUUCACCACGCUGAGCUGACCAACAACUCGGUGAAAAGUUUCUGGCCUGACUCUUGCAUUAGCCGCGAAUUAAAAAUGCACAGAAAAAGGAUCAAGGAGCAGGGCUGGGCGAAACGAUUUACCUGCUCGGGCGGACACCCUUUCACCCACCGCCCGCCCAACCACCCCCUGGUCCACCCCUCCCCAUUGUUUCGUCCGGCACUUGUCGUGGCCUGUCACAAAAGUGUCACUCAAAUGUAAUUAACACCGGAGACGGAGGACUAAAGUGGCUCAAUGUCAGUUGGGAUGAGAACUUUUACCAUUUUUCAUCCGAAAGUUUACUUUUCAGCGGGAAACGUGCCUACCU